UACGGAGGGGGCUAGCGUUAUUCGGAAUUACUGGGCGUAAAGCGCACGUAGGCGGAUAAGAAAGUCAGAGGUGAAAUCCCAGGGCUCAACCUUGGAACUGCCUUUGAAACUCCUUGUCUUGAGGUCGUGAGAGGUGAGUGGAAUUCCGAGUGUAGAGGUGAAAUUCGUAGAUAUUCGGAGGAACACCAGUGGCGAAGGCGGCUCACUGGCACGAUACUGACGCUGAGGUGCGAAAGCGUGGGGAGCAAACAGG
rnacentral:rRNA from 1 species